CGGCGGGCUAGCCCGGGAAACUCGGCGUUUCCUGUCACCCGAAACCGUCGAUAGCGGGGGGCGAAGCCUGAAGAAGAAGUUCUGACUAUUGUAUGACCCAAAGGUUCUACUGUGAAACCCCGUCCUAUGGGGCUGGUGUUGGUACAAUGGCUUUCCUGAAGGAAGGUUUUUGUGCCUUAGUCGCGGAAAACGGUUAAGGCCCGGAAGGGAGCAAACCAGCCGUGAACAACUAUCGCUCAUGGGGGCGCGGGGCGGAGGCGAGCCCGUGAUUAAUCGUGCAGUGGAAGGAGCUACGACCGAAGGUGCGCCCGCUA
rnacentral:SRP_RNA from 1 species